GAUCCUGGCUCAGGAUGAACGCUGGCGGCGUGCCUAACACAUGCAAGUCGAACGAAGCACCUUACUUGAUUCUUCGGAUGAAGGUCUGGUGACUGAGUGGCGGACGGGUGAGUAACGCGUGGGUAACCUGCCCUGCACAGGGGGAUAACAGCUGGAAACGGCUGCUAAUACCGCAUAAGCGCACGAAGAGACAUCUCCUAGUGUGAAAAACUCCGGUGGUACAGGAUGGGCCCGCGU
rnacentral:rRNA from 1 species